rnacentral:rRNA from 1 species
UACGUAGGGGGCAAGCGUUGUCCGGAUUUAUUGGGCGUAAAGAGCGUGUAGGCGGCUUGGUAGGUCCGCUGUGAAAACUCGAGGCUCAACCUCGAGAUGUCGGCGGAAACCAUCUGGCUAGAGUCCGGAAGAGGAGAAUGGAAUUCCCGGUGUAGCGGUGAAAUGCGCAGAUAUCGGGAAGAACACCCGUGGCGAAGGCGGUUCUCUGGGACGGUACUGACGCUGAGACGCGAAAGCGUGGGGAGCGAACAGG